AACCAGGGGCCUAGGCCCAGCACUCCAUGUGAUCCCUCCACGUGACCAAGAGACACAGUCAACACAGGGCGAAUGAGGCUGCUCCUGGGUCCUGUGGCCCCUGACUCACAGUCAACGUUGUAUUCUAGAUCCACAGGAAGAUGAGCAUCACAGAGGUCCUCUCGUCCUUCGCCCAGUUUCUUCAGGGGUUAUGUCUUCCAUAAUGACAUCAUCAUGCAAAACCCCAGCAGCUGACCCCACCACCACGGAAGAGUGGACAGUGCUCCUCAACUUACGUGAGAGUUACAGUUCCCCAAACUCUUUUCACACGUGACGGUGGAAUGCAUUUGGACACGUCAGGCCCAACAGAGGAGGGCUGAGCCAGGCAACGGGCCAGGCUGACGGGGGCCGAUGAGGACCAUGAAGCACCAGGCACCAGCGUCUGCAGGAGCCAUGGCUACCCUAGACCUGAGAGGAUGAGAGAAGGGUGCCUGCUACUGGGACUGGGCAGAGCUGCUGACCUGUCCAGAGAAUGUGGCAUGGGACCAGAUCCACGGUGAGGCAGUGGGGAGGGGGACUGCGACCCCCCACCAUGGGCCAAACCCACCUGGAGGCCCAGGAAAGGGGCAGGUGAUGCGAUCCACAGAGGCUGGCCUCCAAGGGCCCAGAGCAGAGCAGAGGAGGGUGCAGGGGGGUGGAUAUGGCAGGCUGGAAGGUGGCCUACCAAACAGGGCCUAGUCCAGCCCUGGAGCCUGAGGGCGGAUGGAAUCAACGCAGUUUGUAAGAGGGAUACAGGGUCGGGGUGGAUAGGAGACAUAAUGGCAGAAGCAAGAAGUGACGGCCAUGUGAAGAUGAGGCCAGGAGCUAAGAAAUGUGGGUGCCUGGGGGACAGAGAGGAAGGAAGUGGGUUCUCCUGUGGGCAGCUGCAGGUAGAACUGGCUGCACCUUUGCAACAUAGGGCUGUGGCUGCAGCCUCGUAGCACAAACCCGGCAGCCCGGGAAGGUAGGGAGGCGCCUGGGGGUGACUUAGUAUUCACCUAAGAAUUUCAGUGUUUGCUAAUUACUAAAGGAGAAAGUCAGUAUUUACAGCAUUUAACUCGGGUCCCCUGCAGGGAGCCAGAGGACACGCAGUGCUUCUCCCAAGUCUCCCUGGUGGGCCUUCUCUGGGACAGAAGGGACUCUAGAGGCUUGCUUACAGUCACUGAAAGCUGUUGGACUAUGUUAUGGUUUAGCUCUGACUGUUCCCCCCAAAGCUCAGGUGAGACAAGGCAAGAAGGUUCAGAGGUGAUCUGAUUAAAUUAUGAGAGCUGUGGCCUAAUUAGGGAAUUAAUCCACUUGAUGGAUUAAUAAUUUGAAUGUAUACUACGUUGGGUGGCAGCGUAGGCAGGUGGGCAGGCUGCAGGAGGCGGGUUGCUGAGGGUGUGCCUGGGGAUUCUAUCAUGUUCCCCCCACUCCUCCCUUGCUCUCUCUCUAUUUCCCACUCCCAUGAGCUGAGCAGUUACCCUCCUUCAUUCCUUUCCUCCAUGAUGACCUACCUCACCUUGGACCCAGAGUAAUGGAGUUGGCCACUCAUUGACUGCACCUCUGAGCCCAUGAGCCUCCCCACCAACAAAACAAAACAAAACAAAAACCUCACUAACAGAGAUUGAUGCCCAGAGUGGAGCUGUUGCUGUGACUCACCUGACUAUGUGGUUUGGAAAUUUUCUGGAGCUGGCUUGUAGGAGGAGUUUGGAAAAGCUUGGAGAUGCAGGAUGGAGAACUCUUAGAAUGUUGUAGAUGGAAUUUAAUGGGCUAUUCUGGUGGAAACGCUGAAGAUCAGAAUGCCAAGAGGAAGGCAGCAGACUGUAAAGACUGUGCUCAUGAGAUUUCAUAAGAGAAUGGGGACUCUACUGGAAGCUGGACUAGAGCUCAUUUAUGUUACAUUCUGGCAAAUAACUUGUCUACAUUGUAACCAUGUCAUGAGAUUUUGUGUGAGGCUGGAUUUAAAAGUAACAGACUGAUUAAUCUGGUGAAGAAAUUUCAAGACAGCACAGCAUUUAGGCAGUGCCAUGGGUACUGCUGGCAGUUUAACAAUCUUCAUGAUGAGUAUCAGGGGCAAAAUCAGGUAGGAAAGAUUUGGAAAGCUUAUGAUUUAGACAGAAAAGUGUAUGUAAAAUUGGGACUAAAGAAGGUGUGGUUGUUGAAGAGAUCACUGCCACUAACGGGAAGCUAAGUACUUUGCACAGAUACUAGGAAAGGUGUCUUGAGGUCAUCUCAGGACCACACCCAUUACAGACUUGAGGAUGUAAAAGGGAAACUCUUUGAGAAAAGACCAUGGACACUCUGCUUACACAGAAGUUAUCUAGGAAGUUGUUUCUCCAAAAUUCAGUUCACCAUGCUCUGAUUCUCAGACACUCAGAGGCUCCUGCAGCCAUGUUCUGGCUUCUGAUGGAGCAGAGUUUGGCGUCAUCAGUGUGGUUCUGGUUCUGCAGAGCGCUGGAGUAAAGGGUGUCACGGAGGCUUUUAUCCAGAUUUCAAAGAAAGACCUGGGAUUCCAGGCAACUUGUAGCAGCUUUGGGAUUCCCGUGGGAAGCCCCUGAGAGGGUAAUGAUGGAGCUUUGAGAAGGAAGGUGGAGCUGGAGGUGGGGGGGGGUGUCCCCAGAUGAAGAGCUUCCAGUAAUGAUGGACAUCUGCCCAGCCAAGCUUCCCGACAGAUCAGGCUGAGAGAGAGGCCACGUGAGCUGUGACCAGCAAGGCCACGUGGGUGGGGCUGCCCGAACUCCUUGGAGAGAACAUCCUGCUGCUGAGUGCCCCAGAUUCUGGAGACGAGCUACAGGACCUGUUUGCUUAGCUGGAGUUUAGUCUUCAUGUGGUCCCAUCCCUUCCUUCUGGGCCCCAUUUCUCCUUUUUGGAAUGGAAAUGUUCAUUCCGUGCCAUUGGGUAUUGGAUGUACCCAACUUGUUUGGGGUUUUUCCAGGGACUUAUAACUUAGAGGAGACUUUGGAGUUGGGCUUUUGGGCAACCCUGGAACUGUGAAGGCCACGGUGAACCUUCAAGAUGGACCAAAUGAAUUUUGUCUUGUGAGAUAGACAUGAGCUGUGGGGCCGAGGGCAGAAUUUUAUGGUUUGGAUAGGAGGCAUCCCCCAGAGCUCAUUGGAGACAAUGCAGGAAUACUCAGAAGUGAAAUGAUCGGGGGAUGAGAGCCAAAACCUAAUCUGCGAAUCACACUACUUGGUGAACUAAUAAAUUUAAAGGACCACGGUGUGGGGUGGUGACUGUGAGCAGGUGGGGCCUGGCUGGGAGAGGUGGCCCUGGGAUCGUGUUUUGUUGCCCUGUCUCCUUCCUCUCUCUCUGCUGCCCAGUUGCCAUGAGCUGGGUAGUGUUUCUUCUCUAUGUCCUUCCACCAUGAAAUCCCACCUUAUCAUGGCCCAGAGCAAUGGCAAUGGCCAGCCAUGUACUGAGACCCCUGAAGCCGUGAGACCAAAUAAAAUUCUCCUUCUUCAUAUUCUUCUCAUCAGGUGUUUUUGGUCACAGGGACAGAUGACUGGCAGAGACUGAUUCUCAUUGGCUUGGUUUGGGCCAUGCAGCCUCCUUAAACCAGGUGCCAAGUGGCUGGGUGGGCAUCUGCUCCGAUUAGCCGGAUAUGGCUCCCGUGUCCACCCCUGCGGCCAAGGCAUGGGGGUGAGUCUGAUUAAGUUAGACCUUGGAGAAAUUGGGCUCCCCAGGAGAAACCGAAUCCCACAAAUAGGAGAUGGAAGAGGAGACACUGGUGAUACACGGGCAUCCCAGAAUGUCCAGGGAACAGAAAUGUGAAGGGUCGACUGAAAAGCCACAAUUUAGUUGCUAGGCUGCUUCCUGGUAGAAGGGCGCCCGCCUGUGAUCCCAGCGCUCAGGAGGCUGAGGCAGGAGGAUUGUGAGUUCAAAGCCAGCCUCAGAGAAAGCGAGGCACUAAGUAAAUCAGUGAGAUCCGUCUCUGAAUCACAUACGAAAUAGGGUUGGGGACGUGGCUCAGUGGCCCCCGAUACCUGCCCCCACCCCCGAAAGAAGACUUCCUCUGGUUGCGGAAUGUGUUCCCUUCAACUUCAACGUGACUGAGGGUCUCCUUGGUGAACCCUAUAAAGGGGAAAAUUGUUAAAAAAAUAAAUGCAUUUGGGGAUUCUUAAAGUUUCGAGCAUCAUCUUUCCCAAGUGACUUUGAGGGAACCAAAUGAACAAAGAGUGCUCAUGCAUAGAGGAUACCAGAAACUCCAUCCAUCGAAUCCCUCGAGUGAGAGCCCAGGGAAGGCCCCUGUGUUCCUGGACACCAGGGCCGCCUGGUGCUUUUAAUAAGGGAGGCUUGUUCUGGCCAGUGGUUCUGGCCACGGUCCAGGGACGCUCGCUCCAAUCUCUCUCUCAAAUUCCCUCCUCAAUUUCCUGUGGCAUUCUUUCUAUUUUUCUUUUCCUUUUAUCUUUUUUGAAAUCUUUAAAUUACUUUUUCAGCCUGAAUCUGCUUCCUGGUUAUUUAUAAGAGCUGGGUGCCACCCAGAGGUGGCUGUGUUCUUCAGACAAAGUCAGGAGUGUUUUGUUUUCCGUGCCUCCUUAGCUUGAAGGUGGAGUGAAAUGUGGUCAGACCCAGGGUUUGGCUCAAGUGCCACCAUGUCUAGAAGAUGGCAGUAGCAGUAAAGGAAACUUUGCAAGUAACAAAGAAACAAACAAAACAAAAACGAAAAACACCAAACAAAAACAACUCAAAAUAGCUUACGUGUUACGGGAAUUUAUUGGUUCGUGUAACCUAAAUGCCUAGAGAUGGUAAGCCUUCAGGUACAGUUUGAUCAAGCUUUUGCAUAGU